rnacentral:rRNA from 1 species
UACCGCUUCUUGGUGGUAUUUUUGAUUGUCUUGAUAGCUAAAUCCCGUGAAUUUUUCCUCAAUGGUCAUUUUUCUUUCUCCUUUUUGUUCUUGAAUAGUUUUUUGCAAGGUGGAAAUCAAGGUAUCCAGAUGUUGCCUUUCGCGAGUUAGAUAGUCCAACUGCCUAGUCAAAUGGGGCAAUAAAUCUGUCCUUUCUUCCUUUAACAGUUCUGCUAUUUUCUCUAAAGAAAAGCCUAGAUAUUUGUAGUAAAGAAUGACCUGAAGGCGUUCCAAAUCCUCUUGACUAUAGGUUCGAUAGCCCUUUUCCGACUUUAAGGGGACCAAGAGUCCUAUCUUGUCAUAGUGAUGCAGGGUCUUGACAGAGACACCUGAAAGCUGCGCAGCUUCUUUUAUAUGGUACAUGAUUUCCUCCUUACAAUGAUAGUAUAACCCCUCCCCUUAGGUCAGAGUCAAGCGUUUUUGAGAAAAUUUUUUAACUUUUUUGAGAAAGGUGUGAAAACUUGAAAAUGAUUUUCUUGACGGACCUUAGAAAACAUAAUAGGAUAGUCAAGUCUAUCAAUCAAACAGAAGGCUAUUUGACAACUUAAGUAGCUUUUUCUUAUUUUGAAAAAGGAGAUCAGAGUUUAACUAUGUCAGAAAAAUCACAAUGGGGGUCGAAACUUGGCUUUAUUCUAGCAUCUGCUGGCUCGGUCAUCGGGCUUGGUUCCGUUUGGAAGUUUCUCUACAUGACUGCUGCUAAUGGCGGUGGAGGCUUUUUACUAAUCUUUCUCAUUUCCACUAUUUUAAUCGGUUUCCCUCUCCUGCUGGCUGAGUUUGCCCUUGGCCGUAGUGCUGGCGUUUCCGCUAUCAAAACCUUUGGAAAACUGGGCAAGAAUAACAAGUACAACUUUAUCGGUUGGAUUGGCGCCUUUGCCCUCUUUAUCCUCUUAUCUUUUUACAGUGUUAUCGGAGGAUGGAUUCUAGUCUAUCUAGGUAUUGAGUUUGGGAAAUUGUUCCAACUUGGUGGAACGGGUGAUUAUGCUCAGUUAUUUACUUCAAUCAUUUCAAAUCCAGCCAUUGACCUAGGAGCUCAAGCAGCCUUUAUCUUAUUAAAUAUCUUUAUUGUAUCACGUGGGGUUCAAAAAGGGAUUGAAAGAGCUUCGAAAGUCAUGAUGCCCCUGCUCUUUAUCAUCUUUGUUGUUAUCAUCGGUCGCUCUCUCAGUUUGCCAAAUGCCAUGGAAGGGGUUCUUUACUUCCUCAAACCAGACUUUUCAAAACUGACUAGCGCUGGUCUCCUCUAUGCUCUGGGACAAUCUUUCUUUGCCCUCUCACUAGGGGUUACAGUCAUGUUGACCUAUGCUUCUUACUUGGACAAGAAAACCAAUCUAGUCCAGUCAGGAAUCUCCAUCGUAGCCAUGAAUAUCUCGAUAUCCAUCAUGGCAGGUCUAGCCAUUUUCCAAGCUCGGUCCCCCUUCAAUAUCCAGUCUGAAGGGGGAUCGAGCUUGCUCUUUAUCGUCUUGCCUCAACUCUUUGACAAGAUGCCUUUUGGAACCAUUUUCUACGUCCUCUUCCUCUUUGCGACUGUCACUUCUUCUGUCGUGAUGCUGGAGAUCAAUGUGGGCAAUAUCACCAACCAGGAUAACAGCAAACGUGCCAAAUGGAGUGUUAUUUUAGGAAUUUUGACCUUUGUCUUUGGCAUUCCUUCAGCCCUAUCUUACGGUGUCAUGGCGGAUGUUCACAUUUUUGGUAAGACCUUCUUUGACGCUAUGGACUUCUUGGUUUCCAAUCUCCUCAUGCCAUUUGGAGCUCUCUACCUUUCACUUUUUACAGGCUAUAUCUUUAAAAAGGUUCUUGCAAUGGAGGAACUCCAUCUCGAUGAAAGAGCAUGGAAACAAGGACUGUUCCAAGUCUGGCUCUUCCUUCUUCGUUUCUUCGUUCCGUCAUUCCAAUCAUCAUCGUGGUCUUCAUCGCCCAAUUUAUGUAAUCAAAAGGACUUGAGUAAUGAACUCAGGCCCUUUCUUUUUUAUGGAUGACUAACAAUUAAUUCUAAAUCUUGCCCUUCCAGAGUCCAAGCUUCAACAUCACUUGGUAGGAUAAAGUGUCUCCCUUUUUGGAUUGGAUAGUUUUUCCCGUCAACAGUUAGUUGACCUUGACCAGCCAAGACACUCAACAAGCUGUAGUCAGCUGUCUUUUCAAAGUUAACUUUUCCAGUAAUUUCCCAUUUGUAAACUGCGAAGAAAUCAUUGGAUACAAGGAGAGUGGAACGUAGAUCAUCUGCUUUGAUUGUCACUGGACGGCUAUUUGCGGGUUCACCAAUGUUCAAGACAUCGAUAGAUUUUUCAAGGUGAAGUUCACGUAAAUUGCCCUUGUCAUCCUUACGGUCAAAGUCAUAGACACGGUAAGUGGUAUCGCUAGACUGCUGGGUUUCAAGAAUCAAGAUACCCGCCCCGAUAGCGUGCAUGGUACCGCUUGGUACAUAGAAGAAAUCUCCUGCUUUAACUGGCACUUUUGUCAACAGCGCAUCCCAGUUCUUAUCCUCGAUUUGCUGGCGGAGUUCUUCUUUUGACUUGGCAUUGUGACCGUAGAUAAUCUCUGAACCUUCAUCCGCUGCGAUAAUGUACCAGCAUUCUGUUUUUCCGAGUUCGCCUUCAUGCUCGAGUCCAUAAGCAUCGUCUGGGUGAACUUGGACACUGAGCCAGUCGUUGGCAUCGAGGAUCUUGGUCAAAAGUGGAAAUACAGGUUCUGGACGAUUGCCAAAUAAUUCACGGUGUUCCGCAUACAAAGUAGCAAGAUCUGUUCCCUCGUAACGACCAUUGGCAACUUUAGAGACUCCAUUUGGAUGGGCUGAGAUGGCCCAAUAUUCUCCGAUUUUUUCACUUGGGAUGUCGUAGCCAAACUCAUCACGUAGCUUGGCUCCACCCCAGAUUUUUUCUUGCAUAACUGAUUGUAAAAAUAAUGGUUCUGACAUGUCGAUCUCCUGUCUGAUUUUUCUCCCCUCAUUAUAGCAAAAAAAGAGUUCGAAUUGAACUCUUUUUUACAUCUUAUAAAGCAGGGAGAAGAUUUUAUAAAAAUAGUAAACAAAUGUGCUCUACCCGAUGCUUGCACCAUUGCUAUCAAUGACAUCCUUGUACCAAUAGAAGGACUUCUUCUUGCUACGUUUGAGAGCUCCGUUUCCUACAUUAUCUCGAUCUACAUAGAUAAAGCCAUAGCGCUUAUUCAUUUCCCCUGUGCCAGCUGAAACCGGAUCGAUACAGCCCCAAGUCGUAUAACCAAGCAAGUCAACCCCGUCUUGGUAAAUGGCAUCUCGCAUGGCCUUGAUGUGGGCCUCUAAGUAAGUAAUCCGAUAGUUAUCUGCUACAUAACCAUUCUCAUCCGGUGUAUCCAUAGCACCGAGUCCAUUUUCUACGAUAAUACUAAACUAAAAUCAAAAAGUAUUAUAUAAUAGUGAUAUGAAAUCAACUAAAGAAGAAAUCCAAACCAUCAAAACACUUUUAAAAGACUCUCGUACAGCUAAAUAUCAUAAACACCUUCAAAUCGUUCUAUAGUAAAAUGAAAUAAGAACAGUACAAAUCGAUUAGGACAGUCAAAUNGGGACCUAAGGAGAGACCGAAAGGUGUAUCCGAUGGACAACAGGUUGAUAUUCCUGUACUAGAGUAUGUAGUGAUGGAGGGACGCAGUAGGCUAACUAAAGCAGACGAUUGGAAGAGUCUGUCUAAGCAGUGAGGUGUGAAUUGAGUCAAAUGCUUAAUUCUAUAACAUUGAGCUGUGAUGGGGAGCGAAGUUUAGUAGCGAAGUUAGUGACGUCACACUGCCAAGAAAAGCUUCUAGCGUUUAAACAUACUCUACCCGUACCGCAAACCGACACAGGUAGUCGAGGCGAGUAGCCUCAGGUGAGCGAGAGAACUCUCGUUAAGGAACUCGGCAAAAUGACCCCGUAACUUCGGGAGAAGGGGUGCUGACUUUAAGUCAGCCGCAGUGAAUAGGCCCAAGCAACUGUUUAUCAAAAACACAGCUCUCUGCUAAAUCGUAAGAUGAUGUAUAGGGGGUGACGCCUGCCCGGUGCUGGAAGGUUAAGAGGAGUGCUUAGCGUAAGCGAAGGUAUGAAUUGAAGCCCCAGUAAACGGCGGCCGUAACUAUAACGGUCCUAAGGUAGCGAAAUUCCUUGUCGGGUAAGUUCCGACCCGCACGAAAGGCGUAAUGAUUUGGGCACUGUCUCAACGAGAGACUCGGUGAAAUUUUAGUACCUGUGAAGAUGCAGGUUACCCGCGACAGGACGGAAAGACCCCAUGGAGCUUUACUGCAGUUUGAUAUUGAGUGUCUGUACCACAUGUACAGGAUAGGUAGGAGUCUAAGAGAUCGGGACGCCAGUUUCGAAGGAGACGCUGUUGGGAUACUACCCUUGUGUUAUGGCCACUCUAACCCAGAUAGGUGAUCCCUAUCGGAGACAGUGUCUGACGGGCAGUUUGACUGGGGCGGUCGCCUCCUAAAAGGUAACGGAGGCGCCCAAAGGUUCCCUCAGAAUGGUUGGAAAUCAUUCGCAGAGUGUAAAGGUAUAAGGGAGCUUGACUGCGAGAGCUACAACUCGAGCAGGGACGAAAGUCGGGCUUAGUGAUCCGGUGGUUCCGUAUGGAAGGGCCAUCGCUCAACGGAUAAAAGCUACCCUGGGGAUAACAGGCUUAUCUCCCCCAAGAGUUCACAUCGACGGGGAGGUUUGGCACCUCGAUGUCGGCUCGUCGCAUCCUGGGGCUGUAGUCGGUCCCAAGGGUUGGGCUGUUCGCCCAUUAAAGCGGCACGCGAGCUGGGUUCAGAACGUCGUGAGACAGUUCGGUCCCUAUCCGUCGCGGGCGUAGGAAAUUUGAGAGGAUCUGCUCCUAGUACGAGAGGACCAGAGUGGACUUACCGCUGGUGUACCAGUUGUCUUGCCAAAGGCAUCGCUGGGUAGCUAUGUAGGGAAGGGAUAAACGCUGAAAGCAUCUAAGUGUGAAACCCACCUCAAGAUGAGAUUUCCCAUGAUUAUAUAUCAGUAAGAGCCCUGAGAGAUGAUCAGGUAGAUAGGUUAGAAGUGGAAGUGUGGCGACACAUGUAGCGGACUAAUACUAAUAGCUCGAGGACUUAUCCAA